UUGAACGCUGGCGGCAUGCUUUACACAUGCAAGUCGAACGGUAACAGGUUAAGCUGACGAGUGGCGAACGGGUGAGUAAUGCAUCGGAACGUGCCCGAUCGUGGGGGAUAACGCAGCGAAAGCUGCGCUAAUACCGCAUACGAUCUGAGGAUGAAAGCGGGGGACCGUAAGGCCUCGCGCGAUCGGAGCGGCCGAUGUCAGAUUAGCUAGUUGGUGGGGUAAAAGCCUACCAAGGCGACGAUCUGUAGCUGGUCUGAGAGGACGACCAGCCACACUGGGACUGAGACACGGCCCAGACUCCUACGGGAGGCAGCAGUGGGGAAUUUUGGACAAUGGGCGCAAGCCUGAUCCAGCCAUGCCGCGUGCGGGAAGAAGGCCUUCGGGUUGUAAACCGCUUUUGUCAGGGAAGAAACGGUCUGGGCUAAUACCCUGGGCUAAUGACGGUACCUGAAGAAUAAGCACCGGCUAACUACGU
rnacentral:rRNA from 1 species